rnacentral:RNase_P_RNA from 1 species
GGAGCAAGUCGGGUGAUCGCUGCUUCGCGUUGAAAUCUUAAUUUGCGAUUUGAAAUUGGGAUCGAAAUUCGAGGGAGAGGAAAGUCCGAACACCAAAGGGCAGCGAGCCCGCUAACGGCGGGGCGCCCGAUCAUUUCAAGUCUCAGAUUUGAGUUUUGAAAUUUCAGACAAGAAGGAACGGGCGACGACAAGUGCAACAGAGAAUAGACCAGCCGGCGCGAAUCAGAUUUUGAGAUCUCAAAUCUGAACCGCAGGUGAUGGGUGAAACGGUGCGGCCCGUAAGGGCUAGUUUCAAAUUGAAAUUUCAGAUUUGAAACGAGUAAGAGCGCACCGGCGCGUGUGGCGACAUGCGCGGCCAGGCAAACUCCUCGCGGUGCAAGACCAAAUAGGGAAGCGUUAUCAGGGCUGCCCGCCCGAAGCUUCCGGGUAGGUCGCUUGAUCCAAUCGGCAACGGUUGGGCUAGAGGAAUGAUCGCCAUUCCGAUCCGGGAUUUCAGAUCUCGCUGUGAAGAUCGAAGUACGCGGAUUUUGAGAUUUCAAUUUUGAGAUUUGAAAUCCCUGAUCGGAAUACAGAAUUCGGCUUACAGACUUGUUUCUCAA